rnacentral:rRNA from 1 species
GCAAGUCGAGCGGUAGAGUAGCAAUACUCGAGAGUGGCGAACGGGUGAGUAAUAUAUCGGAACGUGCCCAGUCGUGGGGGAUAACGUAGAGAAAUUUACGCUAAUACCGCAUACGAUCUACGGAUGAAAGCGGGGGAUUCGCAAGAACCUCGCGCGAUUGGAGGGGCUGAUGUCAGAUUAGGUUGUUGGUAAGGUAAAAGCUCACCAAGCCGACGAUCUGUAGCUGGUUUGAGAGGACGACC